GGAGUUACAAUAAUGGGCCUAGAAUUGUAUGACUGUUACAUUUUUUUUCGCCUAUUCUUUUAAUGGCCCUUGAAUUGUAUGACUCUUACGUUUUUUUUUCGUCCAAGUCACGUGACUUUCAAGCUACCGGCCGUGAGAACAAAAAACAUGGCGGACAUUCUCUCAUUUUUAGUGGAAAAAUCUAUAUUUUGAGUUAGUUUCUGAAUAAAAAGAAGUUUUGAUUACAUUUCUAGCGAGAAAUAUAUAUUUUAUUUUCAUAAUAUUCACUCAGUGAAUUUACAUAAUCAUCGCUUGCUCGAUUUUACGCAGAUUUUUCAGAUCUCGCCAGAAUAAUGUGAAACUGAUACGUUUUGGUUGCUAUGGACACUGCCAGGGCUCGUCACAUGACGUCUUUUAAAGACUUUAUUAAAACCGCGUUCAGCUACAGGUAAAACAACAUUCAGAGGUGAUUUUAACAACGCUCCACGGCGCGUGAGAGUAAGCAUUUUAAGCGUUUUCUGAUCAUGUAGGUAAGUGCUUUUAUUAGACGUGAUGCAUGCUGGGUGGGAAAUUAUUUUUUAUCAAAGACUCGUUGAUGGUAAUUAAUAUAGAUAUGAAUAUACAUUUUGCAACCCUGUAUCACAUGAAAUACGUUCUGAGGAAACUAUUUUGCAAAUCGCAAUUACGUUACAUGCCAACAUAUAAGCAGUGCUAUUACGUUGGUCCUUAACCUAAUAUGACCCGUCGCCAUGGACACAAGGGGUCGGAUAUCUAAAGUUAAAUAUUUUUAACUUACGCGUGAAAUGGUUGAUUUUAAAAAUAUAUAUAUUCUAAGUAAACAACAACAGCCCAGGUUUAGUAAACAUUUUUUUAUUGAAACUAUAAAUAAAUAUUCUGCAUCCAUUUUAGGUGUGCCACUGUGGGUGGCUCCCGCACACCCCCGUGGCUACGCCCCUGCCGUGACCCAAAUCUCGUUCUCACAUCAUCGCGAUGUUUAUCAUCUAUUUACAAACGUAGCCAGUCGCCACAUCUUUAUUAGCCUAUCCCCUGUAUGUCAUCGAUGCGCUACUUCAAAGAUGUGAGGAAAAGAACAUACACCUGCGAGUAGUCUGUUACAUUGCCUGUGUUAUUGCCUCACAUUUGCAGAAAUCAGGGGAGGGCAUAUCACACAACAUUGCAUUGGCCGUACCAGCAUUUCAUGUUUAUGGACACAAAUUGCCCUGCCAGAUCAAGUACAGUACCAGAUUGCUUGAUGGGUUUGGGCUCACAGACGGGGAAGGAAUGGAAAGGCUGUGGUCUUUCCUCCAAAGAUUUGCCAGAGUCACAAAGGAGAUGACUCCAUCUCAUCGCCUUGACCUACUGACUGAUGCCCUUUUGCAUUAUGGACGGAGGAAAUCAACUGACCUAGGUGCAGCUACUGCAAAGAGUAGACAAAGCAGAGAAAAUAUUGAUUCUUGCUCAGGAAGAUAUCUCAUGUCAUCAGAGAGGCACCAGUGUUGAUUUCUGAAGGAGACAUGGAGAGAUGGAAAAAGCUAGCCCAACAGAAACCAAUAAGUAAGGAACUGAAGUUAAAGUCUUAAAUACUACACUGUCUGUAGAUGGAAAAGGGACUACAUCAUCAGACUGAUUCAGUUCUACAAGUUCAA